AACACAUACUACUCCAACACUGAGUUUAUCAUCCUUGUGAUUGACAGCACGGACCGGGAUCGGCUGCUGACCACUCGGGAGGAGCUAUAUAAAAUGCUGGCCCAUGAGGCUCUACAGGAUGCUUCAGUCCUGAUAUUUGCCAAUAAGCAGGACGUGAAGGACUCCAUGAGGAUGGUGGAGAUCUCCCAUUUCCUUACUCUCAGCACCAUCAAAGACCACUCGUGGCAUAUACAAGGCUGCUGUGCCCUCACCAGGGAAGGGUUAGUGGCUGCCCUACCUGGAUCUCUAGGGCCUGGCUGAACCAAUGGAUGACUGACCAUCAGAACCCUUCUCCUGCCUCUCUCCUGUGAGAAUCUGGUUCACAGUUGGCUCCUGGGCCAAGCCAAUUUGGCAUCUCCCCACAGAGUUUUGCUCUUUGUUGCCCAGGCUGGAGUGCAAUGGCAUGACCUCAGCUCACUGUAACCUCCGCCUCCCAGGUUCAAGCAAUUCUCCUGCCUCAGCCUCCGGAGUAGCUGGGAUUACAG
rnacentral:lncRNA from 10 species